rnacentral:lncRNA from 1 species
CUAAAUCCCCAGCCCCUCAAGAAAAUUUUAAAGGGGCUUGGGAUGGGCAGAAUAGACCUGCUCACCCCCAUAGCAGCCAGGAAGUGGAGAGAAGAGAGGAGCAUGGGUCAAGAAAGACACUCUUCCAUGUCACAGCCACAGUGACCCACCUCUUCUAACUAGGCCCUAUGAGACUUUUGGGAGAUGGUUUAGAUAUACACCAUAAUAUUCUGCCUCUUGCCCCCAAAAGGCUCAUGUCCAUCUCUGAGUUCCCAAAUUCUUCACAGUUCCAGUACUGCGGAAAAAUCCUAAGUCCAAAGUCACAUCUGAGACUCAAAGCAAACUCAACUGUGAGCCCUGUAAAAAUCAAAAAGUUUAAUACUUUUAAAAUAUAGGGCAAACAUUCUCAUUCUAAAAGGGGGGGAUGGAAGAUUUCAAAGGAAUUGAAUCAAUAAGCAAGUUGUGGUAAAUUGUGAGCUCCAAAGGGUAUGGGCAGCCCCAUCCCUGUGGCCACUCAGGCUGGCUCCACUUGCUAUGUAGUUUUCCUCAGUAGGUGUUUUAAAUUCCUGACAUUUCCAACUUCCUAAGGUCACCACUGUGCCUUUGGCUUCAUGUAUCAUCCUCUCAGGAACUCCUGGCAGGGACUGUGACCCUGUCACACAUUUAUGCCUGGUCUUCCAGGCCUUCUGAAAUCUGGAUAGAAGCCUCCAUUACCUCAUAACUCUUGGAUUCUGCAUGCCUGAAAAGUUAGAACCACUUGGAUAACAUCAAGGUGUCCUGCUGGCUGGAGCAGUAGCCUGGCCCCUGUGGACCAUAGCUCCAUUGGUCUCUUGGUUCCUGGAUGGCUGGACUUGGGGUAUGUUUCCUGAAAGCUUUUUUUCUUUUCUUUUUUUUUUUUCCUUUGGUACCAGGGAUCGAACUCAGGACCUUACGCUUUCAAGGCAGGCAGCAGCACUACUGAGCUAAAUCCCCAGCCCUGAGAUCUAUUUCUUUAGGCAGCCCUGAAUGAGCAGGGCACCCUGGGGUUCUCAAGCAAAGUCUUUAGAGGAGUCUAUGCUUUUACACCUUUGAGUGUGGCUUGACUAAGGCCUGGGCUUUUCCUGAGAUGACCUCAAGGCAUCUUUCCUAUUGUCCUGAUGCAAAGUACUUGGCUUUUUUACGCUAAUCUUUUCAGCAUCCACACAAUCCAGGGCCCAACUUUACAGGUGCUUCCUUUCUGGCCAAGCUGCACAUUUUCCAAAUUACAGUGGUACCUCGGUUCACAAACUUAAUUUGUUCUAUGAUUUGAGGAAAGAUGGCUGAGGUUGUGUUUGUCACCUGAAGAAUUUGCAAACAAAAACAAAAUUUUACCAAACACUUAUGUUUGCAAACCAAAUUGUUUGGAAACAAAAGCAUUUGUGAACUGAAGUACCACUGUAUUUAUCUCUGUUUUUGCUCACUGUAGAUCUGACUAAAAGAGUCAGCAGUACUCAUGCCACAACCUGGAUGUUGAAAUUCCCUCCACCACUUUAGUCUACUACCUUUAAAAUCAGCCUCACACCCACCAAGUUUUAGGACAUGAACAGUGUAGACAAAUUCUUUGCUGGAAUGAAACAGGUGUGGCCUCUAGUCCAGUGUCCAGUAGAGUACAGCAGUACAUCAGUUCAUGAACAGAAGGGUUUGGCAAAUUUUUGCUUCUAUUCACAAACUGCAUUGGAUGACAAACGACUGCAACCAUCUUCCCCAUUCUGACAUAGUGGCUUCCUCUAGUUGAGAUUAUGGUUGCAGACAGACCUGUGCACACUUGCUGUGAUUUUUUUUGUGUGAUUUUUAGCACAUACAGUACAAUAUUAUUCAAUCCAGCAUGGCUCCAAAGAAAGUGCAGAGCAAGCAUGGUGGUAAAAAAUGAAAGUGCAGAGCAGUAAUGAAGGUGAGAAGAACAUGCAGAGCAGUAAUGAGGGUAACAAGAAAGUGUAGAGCAAGAAUGGUAAAGUUUUGAAGAAAGUAACCAUUGAAUUGAAAGAAAUUAUAGAAAAGCGUGAGUAUGGUAUUCAUGUGACUGAUCUGGCCUCAGAGUACAAGAUGGUGAUGUCAACAAUCGCAACUAUUUCGAAGAAUAAGUAUGCCAUCAAAGGAGCUGAUGUGGCAAAAAGAGUAAUGAUAUUAACCAAGUGUUGAAAGAGGUGGAAAAACUUUUGUUAGUGUAGUUGAAUGAGAAAUAGCUGCCAGGUGAUAGCAUUAGUGAAGCUAUGAUCUGUGAAAAAGCCAGGAGAUUGCACAGUGAUUUACUGCAAGAAAAUCCCUCUACAACUGCAACAAGUGAUGAAUUAAAGCGAGUAGAGGGUGGUUUGAUAAAUUCCACAAGAGAAGUGGCAUCCACAGUGUGAUAAGAUAUGGUGAGACUUCCCAUUCUGACAAGGCAGCUGCAGAAGUCUAUAAGAAUUCAUGAAGGCAGAAGGAUACCUUGCUCAAUAAGUGUUCAACUGUGAUAUAACAGGGUUCUUCUGGAAGAAGAUGCUGAACAGAACUUAUGCAGGAGGGAAAGGCACUGCCAAGGCUAAGCCCAUGAAGGAGAGAUCGACUCUUGCUGUGUGCAAAUGCAAGUGCUGAUCUGAAGAUUGUCACUACUGGUGUACCAUUCCCAGACCCCUCAUGCAUUCAAAGAACAGAAUAUGAACAAGGCCAGACUGCCUGUCAUGUGGAGGUCCAAUGGGAAAGCUUAGGUCACAAGACAGUGUUCAUGGAAUGGGUGCAUAAGGUGUUUGCAUCCACUGUUAAGAAAUAUCUUUCUAGGCCUCAGAUUUACCUCAGUGGUGCCGUGCCUGCCUUGAAAGUGUAAGGUCCUGAGUUUGAUCCCCAGUACAAAAAAAAAAAUCUUUCUGACAGCCAACUGCCUGAAAGUUGCCUUCUUCUGAUGGAUAAUGCCCUGGAACACCCUCCAGCUUUGGUAGAUAUGGAAGCUGACUAUGACUUCAUAAAGGUCAAGUUCCUCCCCACCAACACCUCUUCUGUAGCCCCAUGGACCAGCAAGUGAUCUGCAACUUCAAGAAGCUGUGCACAAAGGUGCUCUUUACCAGAUGUUUUAAUGUCACUGAAGAGACGUUAUUGACUGUGAAACAGUUCUGGAAGAAACAUUUCAAUGUCCUUCACUACAUCAACCUGAUUGGCACAGCCUGGGAAGAUGUCAACUACCGGACCUUAAACUCAGCCGGGAGGAAACUGGUCAGAAUGUGUCACUGAACGUGACUUUGAAGGGUCUGGUGCACGGGUAGUGGAGGAGAUUGUGUGCAUGGUCAAGAGUAUGGGUCUGAAUGUCAAUGGUACAGACAUAGUUAUAGGGAAAAGUUUUAGAGAUCUUAGUAGAUUGAAUAUUAAGGUAGUUGUAGAAGCAAAAUAAGUAAUGUGUUCCUUUAAGGUUUGCUUUUCCCAUAACUCUUGCUGUUUAAGGUGACUUUAAGGUGAUGGUCAUCUGGCUCUUUAACCAGUAACUUCAUUAACCUAAUAAAGUUACUAUGCCUGGGUGAAUUUACAAUGUAUAUGUGCUUACCUUGUGUCUGUGACUUGUAAAUAGGAACUGGAAUUGUAUUUACACAUCAAAGACCACUAGGGAUGAGAUAAUGGCUAAAAGGAUAUAAAAAGGAAAUGCUGAACAAAGGGGUGCUUGGAUACUAACCAGACCAGUUUCCGGUGGUCCCACCUGCUUGCAAGUAGAACUUUUAUUAUUUUACCCUAAUUCUGUAUCUCUGUGUAAUUCUUUCCGAGAUUUCUGGAACAUUUGGUUCCCUGACCAGGAAUUGGGAAUGAAAUAGCCCUUUUGGGCAUCGACUCAAACCCCACCAGAGGGAGCAGCUCUCCCUCUCCUUGAGAGGAAAGGCACGCCCCGGGACUAACUUCCUAGGCUCCCCAACAGGACAUGGAGACCUGCUCACCAGGUGGGAUCGCCCGAACCUGAGACGGAGGACAACAGAAGGAGGGCUGCUGCUGUUGGGGUCUCAUCUGUCUUUUUCCUUUGCUGGAUGGGAGCAGCUUCUUGGAAGAUGGGGUUCGUCAUGCUGGAUAUGUGGUAACCACAAAGGAUGAGGUGAUCCUAGCUGGGGUGCCUUCCUAGUGGCUAGUCAGCACAAUGUGCUAAGCUCUGGGCACUCAUACAGGCACUCUGAUGGGCAAAGGGUAAAAAGGAUUCUGUUCAUGAUUGGUUGGCUCUAAGGAAGAAGCAGCAUGGUAGAAGGGCAUGGCAGAGGACAGCUGCUCACACCAUGGCAGCCAGGAAGCAGAGAGCAAUGGGAGGAGAUGGGGGAGGAAAUAAACCCUUCCAUGUUCUGUCCCCAGUUAUUCACCUCUUCCAACCAGGCUCCACUCCAAACACAUGAGACUUUUUUUUUUUCCCCACAUGAGACAUUUUUUUUUUUUUUUUGUACCUGGGAUCAAACUUGGGUCCUUGCGCUUGCGAGGCAGGCAGCAGAACCACUGAGCUAAAUCUCCAGCCCUCACAUGAGACUUUUAAGGACGAUUUCAUUGCACUAAAAGUUGAGGAAAAGAAUAGUGAAUAUUGGGCCAGAGAUUUAGCUCAAUGGUUCUGUUGCCUGGCCUGCAAGCACAAGGACCUGAGUUCAAUCCCCAGUACCAAAAAAAAAAACCAAACCAAAAACAAUUAUAAUUCAACAAACAUUUUUUUUUGGAGACAAGGUCUUACUAUGUUGCUUUAUUACAUAUAAUACUACAACCCCCCAAAAUGAAAAAGCUUCUCACUAAUUCUAUAAUUUUCAUGUUUAAUAGUAUAAAUAAUUAUUUUUAAAUUUUGCUCUGGUAAUACAUAUCAUAAGACGUUUCCCAUGGAGAGUUGUGCAGACGUGUGCAUUUUAAUGAUUUAUUUUCAAAUAAUUUCAAAUGUGUAGCAUUGGAAAACUGUAAGGAACUCUGUUGUCCCCUUCAUUCAAAUUUCCAAAUAAUAUGUUAGUGCACUUGUUCCAUUGCUCACUCUUUGUAUAUGGUGUGACCUGCAUUAUUGAGUCUUUUUCUGAACAUUUUAAGGGUCAAUAAAAUAAACCGCAGACAUAAAGUCUUAUCACUCUUAAACACUCUGGUGUAUUUCAUUUAAACAAGGGCACUCCUGUGUAAUGGUAAACAAUCUUGCGCUUGAGAUCAGCAUUGGUACCACAUUGCCAUCACAUCCAUGGUGCCCAUCCACAUUUCAUCUGCUAUCUCCCCAAGUUCUUUUUCCUUUCUGCUUUUGAGUGCUAC